CGGUAAUACGUAGGGGGCAAGCGUUGUCCGGAAUUAUUGGGCGUAAAGGGCACGCAGGCGGUUUCGUCAGUCCGAUGUGACAGGCCACGGCUCAACCGUGGAAGGCCAUUGGAAACUGCGAAACUUGAGGACAGAAGAGGAGAGUGGAAUUCCACGUGUAGCGGUGAAAUGCGUAGAUAUGUGGAGGAACACCAGUGGCGAAGGCGACUCUCUGGUCUGUACCUGACGCUGAGGUGCGAAAGCAUGGGGAGCAAACAGGAUUAGAUACCCUGGUAGUCCAUGCCGUAAACGCUGAGUGCUAGGUGUUAGGGGUUUCGAUACCCGUAGUGCCGAAGCUAACGCAUUAAGCACUCCGCCUGGGGAGUACGACCGCAAGGUUGAAACUCAAAGGAAUUGACGGGGGCCCGCACAAGCGGUGGAGCAUGUGGUUUAAUUCGACGCAACGCGAAGAACCUUACCAGAUCUUGACAUCUUCCGCUACGCCUCGAGAGAGGCGGUUCCCCUUCGGGGGACGGAAUGACANGGKGGKGCAUGGNUUGUC
rnacentral:rRNA from 1 species